AUUGAACGCUGGCGGCAUGCCUUACACAUGCAAGUCGAACGGCAGCGGGGGAGAAGCUUGCUUUUCCUGCCGGCGAGUGGCGAACGGGUGAGUAAUACAUCGGAACGUGCCCUGUAGUGGGGGAUAACUAGUCGAAAGAUUAGCUAAUACCGCAUACGACCUGAGGGUGAAAGUGGGGGACCGCAAGGCCUCAUGCUAUAGGAGCGGCCGAUGUCUGAUUAGCUAGUUGGUGGGGUAAAGGCCUACCAAGGCGACGAUCAGUAGCUGGUCUGGGAGGACGAUCAGCCACACUGGGACUGAGACACGGCCCAGACUCCUACGGGAGGCAGCAGUGGGGAAUUUUGGACAAUGGGCGAAAGCCUGAUCCAGCAAUGCCGCGUGUGUGAAGAAGGCCUUCGGGUUGUAAAGCACUUUUGUCCGGAACGAAACGGUGGAUGCUAACACCAUCCAUUACUGACGGUACCGGAACAAGAAGCACCGGCUAACUACGUGCCAGCCGCCGCUGUAAAAC
rnacentral:rRNA from 1 species